CAUAUUUCAAUCAGUGAUGGAGAAAAGAAGAUUACCCUUCCCAAUGUGGGUGGGAGUCACCUAGUCAACUGAAGGCCAGACCAGAACUUACAUCAUUGCCUCUCCUGAGUCUCCAGCUUGCCAGCUGCUAAUCUUGUGAUUUCUCCAUAACAUGCCCUAUCUCCAAAUACAGUCACAUUCUGGAACUGCAGAUUAUGAACACAGGAACAUUUUGACACUGGAGACUGUGGAGGGAACUCAGCCCAGGGUCUGAUUGGUGUCAGGCUCUGUACAUGGGCACUGUGGUGGAGGUAAUUACCUGCAGCUCUAGGAGCACCCAGAGAACAGUCAUUAACUCAUUAGGCCAGAAAGAGACUAGGAAGACUCCACAGAGAAGGCUAUAAGGAAACAUUGCCCAGGAGCGGCAGGGCAGGAAGCAUGCUUUAUGAAGAUUUACCCGGCAGCAGGUGUGAAAUUGGCAGAAGAGACAGGAGGAUGACGCUGAGAAGUGAAGGGCUCGAGGCAUAAAACAGUUAACAAACUGUUGAAGCUGUCUUGGGGAGAGGUAAUUAAUUCUGCUCAGCUGUUAGUUGGUGUUCUGACUGUACACAUUUAGAAUGAUGGGCUUUGACAGGCCCAAUGUUGUUUUGCAGUAUAAAUGGUAAAAUAGUCAUUUCAUAGAAAAAUCAACACGGAAUCUUUUUGCCUAAUUGAUCCCUAAGCUCCCGACUUUUGCCUCUGCCCCUAGCACAGCUCCCCUUGAAUCACGCCCCCUCCACAUCCUCUCCUCACCCCUUGCUUCACUGUCCAGCCUUCUCCCUCUUAGGGCAAAUACCAUGAACAUGUAGUUGUUAUUAGUUGACAUUGUGUGGCUGAAGGCCAGUGAACAAUUACAUCCAUCUCAUCUCACCUGUCUCCCACGGCACCGACCGGAGACAUCAGGCACAGGCAACCAUCUCCAGAGUACAUCAGCCCCUCGGGGACCUGCUCAGGUUGGCUGAAUCUCUGCCUCAGUGACAAAUUUUGUGCUGAGCUGUGAGAACUGCUUGGGAACCAAGAGCUGCUGGCAGAAGGGCUAACAGUAAACAGCAGGAAACUUCCCAUGGCAGAGGGCUCCCGCAAUGGCGACCCCAUGCCUUCUGAGCUGGAGAUGCCUCGCUGCCCGACCACAUGGCACCAUGGGUCUCUAGCUACCACCACCACCCCAAAUCCUCACCCUCGGGGCUCAGGGCCAGGUGCACAGGCCUGAGAGCUGGCAGAAAGGGAGUUGUCUAUAGCCAGAAAGGGAUUUUCUUCACCAGCCCACCCAAACGUUGUUUGGCUGCCACUGCCUCUGAGCUUUUCAGAAAUGAAAAAGAGAGAUAGGGAAGUGGGAGCCCUGGUGGGCUCUGGAACCCUUCUCUUUUCUCAAGGGCAUGACAGUAGGUCCAAAAUGUCCUCGGGGUUUGAAAAUGAAAUGCCGGCACAGAGCAGAUUCCUGACGAAUGUGGCCCAGAUGUUUCUGAGCAAUUUAUUUUUGCUAAUGGAAAAUGGCUGAGCUAAUAACCCUCAGAAACAUUUCUGUAGGGAGAGUUGAAGCCUAUUUUGCCUCUGUGCUUCUUGUUUUUUGCUUGUGGUUUUCUUUUACGGAAGAAAUUGGAUGUAGGAAAAAGCCCAAAUAACAACUCUGUCUGUAACAGCUGAUGCCAAAAUCCCAUGCACAGACUGUGUGACCUGAUUUCUACCAAUUAUUGACAAUUCAGUGAGGCCCAAGUUCUUCUCAUCAAUUACCUCAUUUAAUCCCUAUGACAAGGAGGAGACCAAGGCUCAGAGCAAUGACAUGUCCUACCCAGCCAGAACCACACAGCCUGUGACAGCAUGGCUGAGAAUCAAACCCCAAGCUUUGACUCUAGAUCAAAACUCUUUCCACCACUAUACUCUUAUAGGGAAAUGACAAGGAAAAUACAAGGGUUAAAAGAGACUCUGAGAGGCUGGAUGCAGUGGCUCACACAUGUAUUCCCAGUACUUUGGGAGGCCAAGGUGGGUGGAUUACUUGAGGCCAGGAGUUCGAGACCAGCCUGGCCAAUAUGACAAAACCCCGCCUCUACAAAAAAAAAAAAAAAAAAAAAAU
rnacentral:lncRNA from 1 species